UAUAGCGUAAAAGUUAAUUAUAUUCAUAUAUACUAUAAAGCAAAUAACCAAAGCAUAAAAUUACUUUUACAGUGACACGUGGGCCCACAUCUAACCAAAAUGCAUCGAAAGUUGAAAACCUAUAACUUUUGCCGAUUCAAGUCCAAAUGAAGGUCCUUGUCAAAGUCAGCUAACUAUGGAAUUUCUCGAGCCUGAAAUGUGAGGAAAUGAGGGUGGUGAGAUUAUAAAAUCCCAGUGAGUAAACAGACACCAUCUAAACUAUCUAAAGACAAGUAAAUGGAAACGAAUUAAAAUAAGUCAUCAUAUUGUAAUUUCAUUACCUUUCAACUCAUUUCACCCAAAUAAACAAAUAGGCUUAUGAUCUUCUGAAAGGCUUGGCUCGUGCCAAAAAUCAUUCUCAUACUCAGUUAUCAGGGAUACCUUGAUCGAGGGUUAUCCCAACCGAGUCCGCCAAGGUUGUUAAAUGUCUUUACAUCCGAAAUUUUAGCCAUGCCUUGGCGUUGGCU
rnacentral:lncRNA from 1 species